rnacentral:rRNA from 1 species
GAGAUAAGUCGUAACAUAGUAGGUGUACUGGAAAGUGUAUCUAGGCGUGUAUAA